rnacentral:rRNA from 1 species
UUCUUUAUCACCGAGUGCUUGCACUCACCGAUAAAGAGUUGAGUGGCGAACGGGUGAGUAACACGUGGGCAACCUGCCCAAAAGAGGGGGAUAACACUUGGAAACAGGUGCUAAUACCGCAUAACCAUAGUUACCGCAUGGUAACUAUGUAAAAGGUGGCUAUGCUACCGCUUUUGGAUGGGCCCGCGACGCAUUAGCUAGUUGGUGGGGUAAAGGCUUACCAAGGCAAUGAUGCGUAGCCGAACUGAGAGGUUGAUCGGCCACAUUGGGACUGAGACACGGCCCAAACUCCUACGGGAGGCAGCAGUAGGGAAUCUUCCACAAUGGGCGAAAGCCUGAUGGAGCAACGCCGCGUGGGUGAAGAAGGUCUUCGGAUCGUAAAACCCUGUUGUUAGAGAAGAAAGUGCGUGAGAGUAACUGUUCACGUUUCGACGGUAUCUAACCAGAAAGCCACGGCUAACUACGUGCCAGCAGCCGCGGUAAUACGUAGGUGGCAAGCGUUAUCCGGAUUUAUUGGGCGUAAAGAGAACGCAGGCGGUCUUUUAAGUCUGAUGUGAAAGCCUUCGGCUUAACCGGAGUAGUGCAUUGGAAACUGGGAGACCUGAGUGCAGAAGAGGAGAGUGGAACUCCAUGUGUAGCGGUGAAAUGCGUAGAUAUAUGGAAGAACACCAGUGGCGAAAGCGGCUCUCUGGUCUGUAACUGACGCUGA